GACGAACGCUGGCGGCGUGCUUAACACAUGCAAGUCGAACGAUGAACCCGGAGCUUGCUCCGGCGGAUUAGUGGCGAACGGGUGAGUAACACGUGAGUAACCUGCCCUUGACUCUGGGAUAACUGCUAGAAAUGGUAGCUAAUACCGGAUACGACCCUCGGUGGCAUCACCAGGGGGUGGAAAGAAUGUCGGUCAAGGAUGGACUCGCGGCCUAUCAGCGAGUUGGUGAGGUAACGGCUCACCAAGGCGACGACGGGUAGCCGGCCUGAGAGGGUGACCGGCCACACUGGGACUGAGACACGGCCCAGACUCCUACGGGAGGCAGCAGUGGGGAAUAUUGCACAAUGGGCGCAAGCCUGAUGCAGCAACGCCGCGUGAGGGAUGACGGCCUUCGGGUUGUAAACCUCUUUUAGUAGGGAAGAAGCGAAAGUGACGGUACCUGCAGAGAAAGCACCGGCUAACUACGUGCCAGCCGCCGCAGUAA
rnacentral:rRNA from 1 species